rnacentral:rRNA from 1 species
GACAGAGGGUGCAAACGUUGUUCGGAAUUACUGGGCGUAAAGGGCGCGUAGGCGGCGUGUUAAGUCACUUGUGAAAUCUCUGAGCUUAACUCAGAACGGUCAAGUGAUACUGAUGUGCUAGAGUGCAGAAGGGGCAACCGGAAUUCUUGGUGUAGCGGUGAAAUGCGUAGAUAUCAAGAGGAACACCUGAGGUGAAGACGGGUUGCUGGGCUGACACUGACGCUGAGGCGCGAAAGCUAGGGUAGCAAACGGG